rnacentral:rRNA from 1 species
GACGAACGCUGGCGGCGUGCCUAAUACAUGCAAGUAGAACGCUGAAGGAGGAGCUUGCUUCUCUGGAUGAGUUGCGAACGGGUGAGUAACGCGUAGGUAACCUGCCUGGUAGCGGGGGAUAACUAUUGGAAACGAUAGCUAAUACCGCAUAAGAGUAGAUGUUGCAUGACAUUUGCUUAAAAGGUGCAAUUGCUUCACUACUAGAUGGACCUGCGUUGUAUUAGCUAGUGGGUGGGGUAACGGAUCACCAAGGCGACGAUACAUAGCCGACCUGAGAGGGUGAGUGGCCAAACUGGGACGGAGACACGGCCCAGACUCCUACGGGAGGCAGCAGUAGGGAAUCUUCGGCAAUGGACGGAAGUCUGACCGAGCAACGCCGCGGGAGUGAAGAAGGUUGUCGGAUCGUAAAGCUCUGUUGUAAGAGAAGAACGAGUGUGAGAGUGGAAAGUUCACACUGUGACGGUAUCUUACCAGAAAGGGACGGCUAACUACGUG